AGUGAACGCUGGCGGUAGGCCUAACACAUGCAAGUCGAACGGCAGCACAGUAAGAGCUUGCUCUUACGGGUGGCGAGUGGCGGACGGGUGAGGAAUACAUCGGAAUCUACUUUUUCGUGGGGGAUAACGUAGGGAAACUUACGCUAAUACCGCAUACGACCUACGGGUGAAAGCAGGGGAUCUUCGGACCUUGCGCGAUUGAAUGAGCCGAUGUCGGAUUAGCUAGUUGGCGGGGUAAAGGCCCACCAAGGCGACGAUCCGUCACUGGUCUGAGAGGAUGAUCAGCCACACUGGAACUGAGACACGGUCCAGACUCCUACGGGAGGCAGCAGUGGGGAAUAUUGGACAAUGGGCGCAAGCCUGAUCCAGCCAUACCGCGUGGGUGAAGAAGGCCUUCGGGUUGUAAAGCCCUUUUGUUGGGAAAGAAAAGCAGCAGGUUAAUACCCCGCUGUUCUGACGGUACCCAAAGAAUAAGCACCGGCUAACUUCGUG
rnacentral:rRNA from 1 species